AAUUUAUGGCCCUCGUGAACCUGGCCCACUCUCUAGUAGGGUGCGUGCUGGUGUUCACGGGUCAUUUUUCUGGAAAGCAUCUCUGCCCUUGACUGGGUUGGUUAUGUGAUUCAGAUCAUUUACUGUGAGUAAAUCAGAGUGUUCAAAGCAGGCAGCAAUGCUUGUAUGGUUCAGCAUGGAAUAAUAAGAUAAGACUUUGGUUUUAUUUUGUUGGCUAUAGAACCCAAGUAAUGAUGGAAAGGGACAGUUGGGGGUGCUAGUAUUCAGUGGUCAGCGGUGAAAUGCGAGGACCCAUUGAAGACUAACUUAUGCGAAAGCAUU
rnacentral:rRNA from 1 species